rnacentral:rRNA from 1 species
ACUCCUGCGGGAGGCAGCAGUGGGGAAUUUUGGACAAUGGGCGAAAGCCUGAUCCAGCAAUGCCGCGUGUGUGAAGAAGGCCUUCGGGUUGUAAAGCACUUUUGUCCGGAAAGAAAUCCUUGGCUCUAAUACAGUCGGGGGAUGACGGUACCGGAAGAAUAAGCACCGGCUAACUACGUGCCAGCAGCCGCGGUAAUACGUAGGGUGCGAGCGUUAAUCGGAAUUACUGGGCGUAAAGCGUGCGCAGGCGGUUUGCUAAGACCGAUGUGAAAUCCCCGGGCUCAACCUGGGAACUGCAUUGGUGACUGGCAGGCUAGAGUAUGGCAGAGGGGGGUAGAAUUCCACGUGUAGCAGUGAAAUGCGUAGAGAUGUGGAGGAAUACCGAUGGCGAAGGCAGCCCCCUGGGCCAAUACUGACGCUCAUGCACGAAAGCGUGGGGAGCAAACAGGAUUAGAUACCCCGGUAGUCCC